AGCAAAUACUCAAUAUAGUUAUACUCAAGAUCUUCAUGAAACAGAUUUAAAUUGGAAACUAACUAGAAAAAGAAAUUGAGAUGCAGAAACAAUUAUCUGAUAUCCAACCCUGCUUCUCCCGAUUUUUUUUUCUUUUUGGUGGUUCCACCAAAAUGCCCUAGCUCUUUUUUCUUUGUGAUGAAGGAUGAAUUCUGAAUGCCCUUAAUAUCCAAAGGAAAGAGGUAAAGGCUACUAGAAUAGAUGAUCAAAU
rnacentral:misc_RNA from 1 species